rnacentral:rRNA from 1 species
AUUGAACGCUGGCGGCAGGCUUAACACAUGCAAGUCGAACGAGUGGCGGACGGGUGAGUAAUGCUUGGGACUCUCGCUUAUGGAGGGGGAUAACUACGGGAAACUGUAGCUAAUACCGCGUACCAUCAGAUGAGCCUAAGUGGGAUUAGGUAGUUGGUGGGGUAAAGGCUCACCAAGCCGACGAGCUCUAGCUGGUCUGAGAGGAUGACCGGCCACACUGGGACUGAGAAACGGCCCAGACUCCUACGGAAGGCAGCAGUGGGGAAUUUUGGAAAAUGGGCGCAAGCCUGAUCCGGCAAGGCGGCGUGUCUGAAGAAGGCCUUCGGGUUGUAAAGGCCUUUUGUCAGGGAAGCGGUACCUAAAGAGUAAGCAACGGCUAACUACGUGCCAGCAGCCGCGGUAAUAC